rnacentral:rRNA from 1 species
UGGUGGAGUGAUUUGUCUGGUUGAUUCCGAUAACGAACGAGACGCCGACCUAUUAACUAGGGGCAGGUAUGGUCUAUUCGGGUGAAGCUGCCGAUGUGGGUGGAUUGCCGCAAGGUGAUUUGCUCCUCGGCGGGGAUCCUUGGCUAAUACUGAUACCUUCUUAAAGGGACUACCGGUGACUAACCGGAGGAAGCGGCGCAAUAACA